AAAUCACCAGCUGCUGCCUGUUGGAGCUUGGGCUGUUGGUAUGAUCCUCUUCCGGCGGCCGUGAUUCCGCCCUCCGCUUCCUUGCCGGUGGUGUUCUGAGAAUCAUUUUCUUUAUUUACCUACGUUUCAAUUUUUGGGAAUAUUACUUCUGUAUUUGUCAUAUCAACCGUGAAACUAGGGUUUAAUCACCGCGACCGUGUGUGAAUUCGAAAUUAAGAGGCCACCAAUAUGAUUUUUCUAGCUUUUUGGAUGGUCCAAACUCCAGCGUUCUGACACCAAAUACUUUCUCCCUUUUUUUAAUAUAGGCGCCCGUUUGACAACAAUUUUUCGACAAGAAUGAAUUUUUUAAUAGUAAUUUUUUAACGAAUGUGUAGGUAAAACAUAGAAAAAUUUUGAGUUUAGAUGAAAAAUAUUUUAUUAUGAAAAUAUAUAGAAAAAAUGAGUGAGAGAAAUAAAAACAAUUUUAAAAGAAUGAUUACCAAACGGAGAACAAUUAUGCAUAAACUUAAUCCAUCUUUAAGGCAAAAAAUCAACUCCAACCAGCUUCUUAUACAAAAAAUUGUAAUUAGAUAAGGAUUUUGUACUGUUCACUUGAUCCCAAGUACUUAUUUGAGCCAUAUGUAAAAAUAAAUAAAUAUUUUUGAGAUAUCGAGUCGAGUAAUGGAUAAUAUAUUUCAAAUAUUUUAUUAAAAUCUGCCCAAGUAUUG
rnacentral:lncRNA from 1 species